UACGGGGGGGGCAAGCGUUGUUCGGAAUUACUGGGCGUAAAGGGCUCGUAGGUGGUCAACUAAGUCGGACGUGAAAUCCCUCGGCUUAACCGGGGAACUGCGUCCGAUACUGGAUGGCUUGAAUCCGGGAGAGGGAUGCGGAAUUCCAGGUGUAGCGGUGAAAUGCGUAGAUAUCUGGAGGAACACCGGUGGCGAAGGCGGCAUCCUGGACCGGCAUUGACGCUGAGGAGCGAAAGCCAGGGGAGCAAACGGG
rnacentral:rRNA from 1 species